rnacentral:tmRNA from 1 species
GGGGCUGAUUCUGGAUUCGACGGGAUUUGCGAAACCCAAGGUGCAUGCCGAGGGGCGGUUGGCCUCGUAAAAAGCCGCAAAAAAAUAGUCGCAAACGACGAAAACUACGCUUUAGCAGCUUAAUAACCUGCUUAGAGCCCUCUCUCCCUAGCCUCCGCUCUUAGGACGGGGAUCAAGAGAGGUCAAACCCAAAAGAGAUCGCGUGGAUGCCCUGCCUGGGGUUGAAGCGUUAAAACGAAUCAGGCUAGUCUGGUAGUGGCGUGUCCGUCCGCAGGUGCCAGGCGAAUGUAAAGACUGACUAAGCAUGUAGUACCGAGGAUGUAGGAAUUUCGGACGCGG